rnacentral:rRNA from 1 species
UACGGGGGGGGCAAGCGUUAUCCGGAUUCACUGGGUUUAAAGGGUGCGUAGGCGGCGCGGUAAGUCGGGUGUGAAAUCUCGGAGCUUAACUCCGAAACUGCAUUCGAUACUGCCGUGCUUGAGGACUGGAGAGGAGACUGGAAUUUACGGUGUAGCGGUGAAAUGCGUAGAUAUCGUAAGGAAGACCAGUGGCGAAGGCGGGUCUCUGGACAGUUCCUGACGCUGAGGCACGAAGGUCAGGGGAGCAAACGGG